GUGGUCAUGUAAAAAGUAAAUGCAAAUACCAUUAAUGCAGCUCCAUUAAAAGAUGGAAAAGUGGGGGCAGCAAAUCCACCUCUGAUUGCUGAUUAUAUUGGCAGAUAACAAUUUCUACUUAUGUAUUACAAAAUUUAAUGUGAUGGACAUUACAUGAUAAUUUGUGGAAAAGGUUAUUCAAAGGCAAUGCCUUUGUUUAAACUUUUUGUGAAAAUAGGAAGUAGAUAGAUCUUGCCAUUCUAAGCUUUUUCGUUUUUUU
rnacentral:lncRNA from 1 species